rnacentral:rRNA from 1 species
CCUACGGGUGGCAGCAGUGAGGAAUAUUGGUCAAUGGACGAGAGUCUGAACCAGCCAAGUAGCGUGAAGGAUGACUGCCCUAUGGGUUGUAAACUUCUUUUAUAUGGGAAUAAUAUGUUCCACGUGUGGGAUUUUGUAUGUACCAUAUGAAUAAGGAUCGGCUAACUCCGUGCCAGCAGCCGCGGUAAUACGGAGGAUCCGAGCGUUAUCCGGAUUUAUUGGGUUUAAAGGGAGCGUAGGUGGAUUGUUAAGUCAGUUGUGAAAGUUUGCGGCUCAACCGUAAAAUUGCAGUUGAAACUGGCAGUCUUGAGUACAGUAGAGGUGGGCGGAAUUCGUGGUGUAGCGGUGAAAUGCUUAGAUAUCACGAAGAACUCCGAUUGCGAAGGCAGUUCACUGGACUGCAACUGACACUGAGGCUCGAAAGUGUGGGUAUCAAACAGGAUUAGAUACCCGUGUAGUC